AAACUAUGAUGGGGACACUGGUUUGUGUACUCCCUAAAUAUCUCCCAGGCUUCACUGAAGCUCUCAUUAUGUUGUUGAGUGAAGGAGGAUAUCUGGUUCCUUAGCUU
rfam:Eutrema salsugineum unplaced genomic scaffold scaffold_4, whole genome shotgun sequence.